ensembl:ncRNA K01A6.9 ncRNA
CUCACAGUCCUCGUCUACCCUCUUACGCAAUCUUGGUAUGUCCUCAAAUGGAGGACUGUACCCUCUACGUCUCCUGCUUCAUAACACUAUUUCGUGACAAAACACAGUCCCAUUCCGCUCAUUUUGCAUCUUUCUCCUUCC